GAGUUCUUCUUACUCUUAGAUGAGCAUUCUAGAAAUCUAUUCUAAAGUUUUUGGAUGAGGAAAAGUCAAAAGAGAAGAGAGUUCUCCCUCCAUCUUAAAAGAAUAGAGCCCUACAAACCAAUCACAUGGGGAUGCGAUGGGACUUUUCUUUAUUAUCUUUCUGCUCAUUUGCAUGACAUGAGUUAUUUUAUUUAUAUGAGGUAUUAUGUUUUAUCAUUUGUUGUAUCAUUUUUUAUAUGAUUAUGAUAAACCCCAA
rnacentral:lncRNA from 1 species